GGGGUUGUGGCUCAGCGGUAGAGCGCUCGACUAGGGUGUGGGAGGCCCUGGGUUCAAUCCUCAGCACCA
rnacentral:tRNA from 1 species